CUGGGGUGAGGAUACUAGAUUUUGUCUAGAGUGGACUUGGUAAAGCUCUAGACUUCUAGGUCACCAGAUCGCAUCCAAAGAUGUGAGAACCUUCAUCCUCGUCCUCUCUCACGAAAUCUUCAAAGAAUGAGAAAGACGAAAUCCCUGAAUCCCCUUUUUCACUCUUCCUCUCUAUUCGUCUCGGUUUGAAGCAUUGCGGGUCGCCCUCUUUCUAUUUUUUACCUUCUCUUCUCGAUUUCAGUGGUGGUAGCGAUGAUUGAGAAUCAUCGGUGGCUUAUGAAAAAAAGGUAAUCACCCUUCCCGAUCCCUUUAGUUCUUUAUCACUCAUCUCCUUUUAAUUCUCUAUUUGAUUCUCUAUUCUGGAUUUUAUAAUUUUCAUAACUUCUUAUCCUCGCAGAGGUUUAUUAAGGCCAAGGAAUGUGCGGUUUUCACUCGGUGAUGAUGACAUUAAGGUGGAGGUACUCACGAUUAGCCUCACCAAGAUUGGGUAACUUUCUGAGUGUUGGUUCUAUAUAAGGAUGUGUGUAUGUUUCAGAUUGUGGUGUUAUGCGUUAGCAUGUAUGAUGCGUUUUUAACUGUUAUACAUUCUGAUUUCUUAUGGUGUGAUGUAUAUUGUGUACCUUAGUAUAUGCCCUGUGAAAUAUAACUCUAUCUCUCUUCUGUGACUUCUUAUUGGGUCUCCUUCUGGUUUUUAUGGUGUUGUAUCCGUGUCUACCUGUGCCUGGACUUACGUGAUGUGAUUUCUGCCCGCCUUAAUGUGUAGCGUAUUCUCUGAUGUGUUAUGUGUAUGGAUAGGAAUUGCUAUCUGUUUAUAUGAUAUGAAUAUGUGCCCUGAUUAUUUCUGCCUUUUUCUAACUGCUCUCUAUCUCUGAUUUCUGUCGCAAAGUAUGCUCUCUUUCUCUCUGUUUUUACUGAGUGUCUGUGUGUAGCAAUGUUAAUAUAUAUACUAAAGUGUUUUCUCCCCCUUUCUAUUGAUAGUUGUACGCCUUUUACAGCUGUGUGUUUAUGUUGUAUUGCCCUUUUGUUUUCUGGUUAUCCAUUCUGAAACUGCUCAAUAAUUGUUCCCAUUCAUGCUGAUUAUGAUUAUAUGUAACUACUGAGAUAUUUCUGAAUUCUCACCUAAGAGAUAGGAACAUAUACCCUGACUCUUGCUCUUUUCUGAUUAUCCCUCUCAGUUUUGAAUAAUGCUCAAUGAUUACUAAUAAGUAUUUUACCACUAAUUACUCCAUUUAAUACGACCAUGAUUGCUGCCUAACCCUGCUGUUUUGGAAUCCUUUUCUGAAUAUUUGGCUUUUAUGCCUACUGGAAUACAUAACUGAAAAAGGAAUAUGCCAACUGGUGAUGUCUUCUGGUUUGCAUUUUUGAAAUUCUUAUAUUGUCCCAGUUACUGCUGAUUUAUGUGCAUACAUAACUGUUGGAGAAGAUUUUUAUUUGCCAAUGAUGACCAUAAUUGGAGUAGAAUGGUAACUAGCCUUUAUCAUGUAACUCACGGCUGAUUAGUGUGAUUGCUUUGGAAUAAUUAUUAUUUACUUAAGUGUAUGUGUAUGAUUUGCAUGUGUUACUAAAACCAUCUCUUCAAGUUUCUUUGUUGCGUUAUCUGUUCUGUUAUAAUUUCGUCUCUCUUGCAAAUGUAUGUAAAUCUGUGUUGUGUUGCAUUCUGCUUGUUCCAUAAAUUUUAUUGCCUUUUUCCUCAAAUGUAACAUGUAUAAUCCAUUUGUGUUAUUGGUGUUGGUCUUCUGCAUUUUGUUGGUGCGUUGCUCCAUGUGGUAUCUAUUAUGCAUAUAAUCGCUACAUGCCCUUAUCAUCAAUAUCAAAUCAACCUACUCCAUCACAACAAGGAAAUUAGAUUUAGAUGCUGCAUUUUCUUGGAAAUUCUAACUCAUUCUCCAAUUUUGGAUCUUUUUGUUUCAUAUUUCUAGAUUUGUUUGGUCUGUUAAAAUAUGGUGGGGUAGUGGUGGAUGCCUUGUGGAUUGUUGAGAUUUUUUUGGGUGAUUUUGAGUGAUACGAUGCUUGAAGUUUUGAAUGGCCAAUGUUAUUAACAAUGGUUGUUGCACACCAUUUUGCUUUAAACCAGUUAAGGAUGAUUGAAUUAUUUGGUUUAAUCAUGUUUGGAUUGUUUUAGCUUUCUGGGUGACACUAAAAGCAAAUGUAUGUUUCCUUUGAUUUGCAGUGAUCUUUGCAUCGUGGCAUCCCAGGUCCAGAUGUAUACCCACGAAGAGGUGAAGAAUGCCACACUUGGGAUGAUAAUUGAUGAUGCCAAUAGCUGGUUAGAUCAGGCACCGGUGAUCACGGAGGCAUCUAAGUCUUCCUUAGCAAUAUAUUUUUGUUAUAAUCUCAUUGUAUCCUAUUUCGUUCUUCCAUUUUUUAUUUCUUCUUGAUGCUCAUGUAAUAUUGUUUGUAUUAAGGGCGAAACAAGUGCCCUGUUCAUGUAACUUCCAUGUUGCGAAUGAAUGGUUUGUAUUGACAACAAC
rnacentral:lncRNA from 1 species